AAAUAGGGUUCCAGGAGUGCGUAGCUCUAUGCAGGCCUGUGUGUGCUUGUGGGUAUGCAGGACUGAGCUGCCCAUGGUCUCACAGCCAGCCCCAAAUCCCAAACUCACACACAUCCCAAAUCUGGUCAUUCUCACCAAGGGUCCCUGCCUGCCAUGCCUUAGUGGGCCUGAGCUCCACAUGAAGGAAGCCUGCUGGUCACAGAGGAGCCCAGAGAAGCUGUGGUUCGGGUCUCAGAUUAUCUUCUCAUUUGUGAAAUGGAAUACUUGCCUGGCCAGCUGCAGAUCUGUUGGGAGGCCUUGUCCUGGUCCAGUUUGGGAGGUGGGAGGCUGCCCCCAGGCCCAGUCAUGGGCUCUGCAGCUCAGAGGGCCAGGACCUCAGCCCUACCCAGGGCCUGCAGGGCUAGGGUAGGUGAAGGUGGAUUCUGAGUGGAUGCCCAGGGCUUCCCUCCUCUGGGAGGCCAGAAAGCAUGUGGACAAGGCUGGGGGUUGCAGGACUGGUGGACCCCUAGGUGAAAGUGGGGACCUCUGCUUGCUUAGGGGGACUGGUGGGUGCCAGGGGCAGGCCAGGGUGAGCCGAGGGCUCAUAGGUCAGGCUGGAAGGUGUGUGACGCUGGGCUGGACCGAGCAGACAGUGAAAAAGAAAAAGAAAGUGUGAUCACUGACCUGGCGCUGUAGUGACAGGAACUCUCUAAAAUAGUAGAAGCAGCCAGUGAACUGUGGUGACAGAGUUUAUUUAACCUGGUAUCUCCACAACGCUGUCACUUGAAGGUGCAGUCGACACAGAUAGGCAUCACUGAGGCAGUUUAUGUCUUUCUCUCAUGAAGGCUCCCACAUCGCAGCCCAGAGUGGUUCAGACAGGAUAGGAAGGUGCAGCUUGGACCCUGCCAGGGUUCCCGGAGCUGGUUGGAAAACUGAGUCCCACACACACCUUUGAGUGUAUGGCCUCCCUGGGGAACCUCUGAGGGUAGGGGAGAUAUGCACAAGGAAACGUCCCUUUAAAAAAAUACACUUAUUUUGACAUUUAAAUUAUUAAAUGGAUAAGAUGUUCAGAAAAGAGCAUAAAAUGCUUUAUGCAGUUGAGCAGAAGUGAAGACACCAUGGCGGCCUGCCCCAGUGCCACUCUGCCCGGAACCUGACACAGAGGGACUGUGUCAGUCCACAUCAUCGGGAAGACCCUCCCAAGGCAGGGAGCCUCACGGGCACCGUCGUAGUUGGCAGUGUACCCUCCCUGCCUCCCCUUCCAGGCCCGGCUACUGGAUUUGCAGUGUUCAGUGCACAAGAGCGAUUCUGGGGCCUUCACCAUACAGGGAAAUGUGGCAUCAUAGGUGCUAAAAGUCACACUCUGUUGCCCAGCCUGGAGUGCAGUGGCCCAACCAUAACUCAUUUUAGCCUAGAGCUCUUGUACAAUCCAUCUUCCCAUCUCUGCCUCUUCCAAGGUGUCGCUGGCUCAGGCAUGGGGCUGUGGCAGCUGUUCUGCUCCUGAGGACAUGUAAUGCUCUGACAGGUGCCAGGGUUUCCAGGACUAUCCCUGCUAGCCCCCACUGAGAGCCCAACCAGUGACUUGAGGUGACAUGGCCAACAUCACGUCCCUGGCCAGCAGCCCUCUUUCUCCAGUCUCAGCUGCUGCCAGCUCCACCUGCUGGGCCUGAGGUGGGCACCCCAGCGUCUUCCUCAGCAUCCACCAUUGUCCACUUGUGCUGCUGCAAAGAUCACCUGAAGUUGGGCAGUUCAUAAAGAAAAACGGCUCCUGGGCGGUGCCUGUAGCUCAGGGCAUAGGGUAUGGGCUCUAUAUACCAAGGGUGGCCUGUUUGAACCCAGCC